UAAACAUUGUUAACCACCUCAGGUGGAACUUGGACCCACAGAAACUUCCAGUCCUGGUUCUACUGGAUCUUAGUGCCGCCUUUGAUCCAGUAGAUCAGCAGGUUUUAUUAGACAGACUCAGAAGUCUGGUGGGCCUCUCAGGUCCUGGUCUUAAAUGCUUUUACUCCGAUCUCACAGAUCCACAUCAUAAGGUUUGAUCACAGUUCUACUGAUAAUCCAGGCUUCACCAUCAGGGUGAGCCGUUCUCCCAGAAACUCUGAUAAACUUGAAGUUCUUCACUCUUUAUUUUUGGCUGUUGGUCUUAAAAACCAACAUCAGUGUUUCUACAACAUUUAGAGGAUCUGAACUGGAAGCUUCUGCUAAGAGUUUUCUUUACAUUAACAUACGUGUACAUUUACACGUGUGUAGUAAUCCUAACCACCUGAACUGACUCACCUUAUAAUACGUACAGAAGUCAGAUUUAUUAAGU